rnacentral:rRNA from 1 species
AUGUUAUCCUUGAAUGUUAGAAUUUUGUUAGAACCAAAGUAUCAAAGUAUGAUGUUACAUGACCUCGUAUCGAAGUAUCAAGCUGCAAGUUAUAGUAUGUUUGUUAACAAUUGGUUGGAAACAGAACAACGCUACUUGGUUUACAUUGGCAUCACUGAAUCACAUCAUUUGUUUCACUGCUAUUCUUCAUUCUCAAGGCUGUUUUCUUUUGCCACCAUUAUUUUGCUGAAUUUUGUGCUCAUGGCCCACUACAAUUUUGAAGGGGCAAAAUUUAACGAUGAACCGAUUUGCUGCUCUCAGCUAGGAACCCAGGACACUGGUCUGACUGUGGGGUGUGGGCGGCUCGUAUCGAAUGAAUAUUUGAAAAGAAGUUCAGAUUGUGUAUAA